AGGGCAGCUACUUUUCCGCACUCUUUAUUGUCAUGGGUGGUAUUUGUGGUAGUAUAAAAUUGUAAACAAUUUUCACAAAAAUAUGCCGAGCAAUGGGAUUUAUUAUGUUGAGAAUAGCAUAAUUUUUUCAUGCACGUUAUAUAGGCAUAAUGCAUCAUUUGCAAAGAGUCAUUAUUAAUCCCUAAUAGGUUGAUGUGAUGUCCUCGAAUUGCUUUAGUCCUCACUGUUGGUCCUACAACGUUUUUUCCAUUGUCAUCGAUUUCAUACACAUUUAUGCUAAUAUUAGCAUUGGAUAAUUCGAAUCUCUUUAUUCCUUUGUUUGUGAUUGGAAACUCAAUCCCAGAAAAAUCCAGUCUCACUCCUUUAUAGCAAAUGAUGUCUUGCCUG
rnacentral:lncRNA from 1 species